AUCCUGGCUCAGAAUCAACGCUGGCGGCGUGCCUAACACAUGCAAGUCGAACGCGAAAGCCCCGAAAGGGGCAAGUAGAGUGGCAAACGGGUGAGUAACACGUGGGUGACCUGCCUUCGAGCGGGGGAUAACGUCCCGAAAGGGACGCUAAUACCGCAUAACAUCCUGCCUUUGAAGAGGCGGUGAUCAAAGCUGGGGAUCGCAAGACCUAGCACUCGAAGAGGGGCCCGCGUCCGAUUAGCUAGUUGGUGAGGUAACGGCUCACCAAGGCAACGAUCGGUAGCCGGCCUGAGAGGGCGGACGGCCACACUGGGACUGAGACACGGCCCAGACUCCUACGGGAGGCAGCAGUGGGGAAUUGUUCGCAAUGGGCGCAAGCCUGACGACGCAACGCCGCGUGGAGGAUGAAGAUCUUCGGGUCGUAAACUCCUUUCGAUCGAGACGAAUUCCUUCGGGGUGAACAAUCCCGGAGGUUGACGGUACCGAGAGAAGAAGCCCCGGCUAACUCCGUGCCAGCAGCCGCGGUAAUACGGGGGGGGCAAGCGUUGUUCGGAAUUACUGGGUGUAAAGGGCUCGUAGGUGGCCAACUAAGUCAGACGUGAAAUCCCUCGGCUUAACCGGGGAACUGCGUCUGAUACUGGUUGCUUGAGUUUGGRAGAGGGAUGCGGAAUUCCAGGUGUAGCGGUGAAA
rnacentral:rRNA from 1 species